rnacentral:rRNA from 1 species
AGUGAACGCUGGCGGUAGGCCUAACACAUGCAAGUCGAACGGCAGCACAGUAAGAGCUUGCUCUUACGGGUGGCGAGUGGCGGACGGGUGAGGAAUACAUCGGAAUCUACUUUUUCGUGGGGGAUAACGUAGGGAAACUUACGCUAAUACCGCAUACGACCUACGGGUGAAAGCAGGGGAUCUUCGGACCUUGCGCGAUUGAAUGAGCCGAUGUCGGAUUAGCUAGUUGGCGGGGUAAAGGCCUACCAAGGCGACGAUCCGUAGCUGGUCUGAGAGGAUGAUCAGCCAAACUGGAACUGAGACACGGUCCAGACUCCUACGGGAGGCAGCAGUGGGGAAUAUUGGACAAUGGGCGCAAGCCUGAUCCAGCCAUACCGCGUGGGUGAAGAAGGCCUUCGGGUUGUAAAGCCCUUUUGUUGGGAAAGAAAAGCAGCAGGUUAAUACCCCGCUGUUCUGACGGUACCCAAAGAAUAAGCACCGGCUAACUUCGUG